GAUGAAGAACGCAGCAAAAUGCGAUAAGUAAUGUGAAUUGCAGAAUUCAGUGAAUCAUCGAAUCUUUGAACGCACAUUGCGCCCCUUGGUAUUCCGGGGGGCAUGCCUGUUCGAGCGUCAUUAUAACCCCUCAAGCUCAGCUUGGUGUUGGGGCCUGCCGACUGGCAGCCCUUAAAAUCAGUGGCGGCGCCAUCUGGCUCUAAGCGUAGUAAUUUCUCUCGCUAUAGAGUCCCGGUGGAUGCUUGCCAGCAACCCCCAACUUUCUAUGGUUGACCUCGGAUCAGGUAGGGAUACCCGCUGAACUUAAGCAUAUCAAUAAGCGGAGGA
rnacentral:misc_RNA from 1 species